GCUCAGUUAGUUUAGUGGUUAGAACACUAAAUAAUUUUUUUUAUGUUAGAAACGCAGGUUCAAUUCCUAUACUGGACC